GCGGCAGGACGCCUCAAAUGGUGUACUAUUGGUCCGAAAUCAACGUCGUCUCCUCGUCCAAAAUUAGUCGGUGCUGGACGACACAAAUGCACAACAUGUCCUAAAAUGCAUUUAUGUAGUCCUUGUGAAAUAUGCAAAUGCUGUGCGUACACCUUGGUUAAUACUGCAAUAAUUAAUUUAAGUGAACAACAUAGUUUUUAAGAGGUUAUGAAUAGACGUCCACUCACGUCUUUUACACGUCUAGACUAGACUCGUAUAAAAAAAACAUAAUAAUCUUUAUGAAAUACACGAUUUGUAUACAAAGUAAAUAUAUUAACUUUAUCUUGUUUAAAUAAAUUAUAAUCACAAAGUGCCCAGUGUGAUUGCAAAGCCACACUGCAUUUUAGUCAUUAUUUCAACCUGUUUUAUUAUUGAAUGUAUGCAUAUAAAUGUAAAACAGAUACAUAUCCGGUCACCAUUUAGGUCUGAGUUGGAUGUAAUUUCAAAAACUCUGCUUCCAAUAUUAUAUUAAGAAAUAUAUUACAAAAUCCCGCGAUAGGACAGAUUAUCUCGCGAGAUAACGUCACGCGUUCUUCCGGAAGUUCACAUUCAAACAGGAGGAGCGGUUACGAGGGAGUUUUGUCUAUAUAUUAUGCAAAAUCUACUAUUGGGAAAAGCAGAACCUCAUCCAAAUAAAAAUAAACAAGCUGUUAAAGGCACUGUGUCCUACACAGACCCUCCAAAAUAUAACCACCCAAAACCCAAGUCAGUUGAAGAUCAACACAAACCAAAUGAAGAUGUACAUUCUACAAACAAUAAAAAAAGAUCAAGUUUUGUGUCCAACACAUUUGGAUGAGACGUGCCCGACCCCUGACUUUGUCUACCCUACAUUAAGUUGCACACUUCAUGACAGUAAACAUCUGUAUCAAGAUGGUGUGAUUGAUCUAUACCCUAGAAUAAGCUGUGACACUAUGAGACGGUCACAUAAUGAACAGCCAUCUUACAGACAACCGAAAGAGGCAUAGUAUUGUUUUCUUGUGUAUUGUCAUACACCUAAAGAGGAUUUUUUUAAAUCAUACAAUUAUGGUGUUAUUCAUUCAUUAAUGAGUUCUUUCUUAUCUUAAAUAACUUUUCAUUUUUCACUUCUUUUAUUUUUAAUGUCUAUAUAGUAUUCUCUACAAUCCCAAAUUCUGGAUUGACGCCCCAGUACCAGAGGGCACGCCAAUCCCAGAGAGCAUCCAUCUGAAAGCAGGUGAGGUAACACAAGAAAAACUAACAGGAUGGAGACUACCUGAUUCUUCACCUAUGGCCUCAGCUUCAAAUGCAAGAAGUCCAGCAACUGUCUGAGUUGGUGUAUAUUCUGUCAGAGACUGCGUGAACAAUGUUAUGAACAGAAUUAUGUCUAAUUGUCUUAUGGCAAAGUUCAAUAUGAGGGGUGGUGGACAUCUGGAAAAGAAGUCUUUUAAAGGCACACCUUUGUAUUGUGUUAUUCAAGAUGCUGUGAUGAGGUGGAGCCCAAAUGCCACAGACUCAGAAAUAGAUGCAGCUAUGGCAGACCACCUCAAGCACGCUCCAGGAAGAGCUGGGGGUUGUGAAUACACUAAAUAAGCCAAACAGCUCUAAUGUGUAAAAGAGAGAGUUCACAAAAAAAUGAAAAUUGUUAUAAUUUUCUUACCCACAUGUUUCAAACAUGUAUACAUUUCUAUUUUCUGCUGAACACAAAGAUUGAAAAAUGUUUGUAACCAAGCUAACUGUCAAUAAUUUUUUUUUACAAUUGUAGUAAUGGGUUGUGAGAUCUGCUUUCUGCGUUCUAUUCUUUCAAAUAUCUUUGUGUUUUGCAAAACAUAGAAAAGUAUACAGGUUUGAAACAUAAGAGAGAGUAAAUUACUAAAUAAUCAUUUUUGGGUGAACUAUCCUUUUAUAUAGUAAAGUAUUUUGAAAUUGUUAUUAUAGUUAAACGGUUUAAAAAAAAUAAAAAGUGCUAAAUCAGAA